rnacentral:rRNA from 1 species
UACGUAGGGUGCGAGCGUUGUCCGGAAUUAUUGGGCGUAAAGAGCUCGUAGGCGGUUUGUCGCGUCUGCCGUGAAAGUCCGGGGCUCAACUCCGGAUCUGCGGUGGGUACGGGCAGACUAGAGUGAUGUAGGGGAGACUGGAAUUCCUGGUGUAGCGGUGAAAUGCGCAGAUAUCAGGAGGAACACCGAUGGCGAAGGCAGGU